CAUAUGCACACUUCACAGAAUAGGCGGUCCCAAACGGAAAUAUGCAAAUAAUACUAGAACGAGCCAAUAGAAUCUCGCUUGCUCGUGUUUGGCUCUGCCCACUAAGACUCAUUUAUUUCAAUUGGAAACGACAGGUUGUGAUCUAUCUUGGUGUAGUUAUUUAAAUAUUUGUUAGAAAGACACGGAAGAGGAAGGAAGAACAAUCUCCACCCUGUUUCCUUCAUCUGCCUCCAGGCAGGAAUACGAGACCGAACCGUAAAUUAACGUGAUAAUCUGGAAGCAUCGUUAUAAGUAUAUCACUUUAAUCCAUUAAAAUCAACGAUAUUUCAUUAUAUAUUCAAUCGAACUUUAUAUAUUUUAUCGUUAUUUUAGAUGUGUGGUUGUUAUAAAGGCGGACACAUUGGACACUGCAAUGUCCGUUCAAAUUAUGGUUAAAAAACGGAGCCGCUAACGUUAUUUGACUCUACAAGCAGCAACGGGUCUAUUUUUUGUUGUUGUUGCAGAUCCAUAGUUGUCCAAAUGAUAUAUGCUAGUGUAUUCGGUCUAUGGGUUUUGACGAAACGUAAAUAAAAGUUGGGGAAACUAGGCGGUUUCGUUUUCUGAGACCAUAUGGCUAAUUGUCAACUAAAGGGACGUGACUGUCCCAUCAUGUCUGAGAUCACAGCAGUCUGCGGCGCUUUUGUCCUUUCGCUGCAAAUAUCUCUCUACUGAAGCGUGAAACACUGCACAUCAACAUGAACAAGUUGAUACAAAUGAUGCGGGACCCAUGCCGCAGAGAUAGCCCACAACGUGUCGUCUAAGAACAGGAAGUUGAUCGUGGAGAGGGCAGCUCAGCUGGCCAUCAAGAUCACCAACCCCAACGCCAGGCUACGUAGCGAGGAACACGAGUGAUCUGGGACCACGACUCUUUGUUGUUCAAUAAAUGAUCUAUACACCUGUCAA